AACCUCGCCCCUGGACUCUGGGAUAAGCCUGGGGAAACCGGGUCUAAUACCGGAUACGACACUCCUCCGCAUGGUGUGGGUGUGGAAAGUUUUUUCGGUUGGGGAUGGGCUCGCGGCCUAUCAGCUUGUUGGUGGGGUGAUGGCCUACCAAGGCGACGACGGGUAGCCGGCCUGAGAGGGCGACCGGCCACACUGGGACUGAGACACGGCCCAGACUCCUACGGGAGGCAGCAGUGGGGAAUAUUGCGCAAUGGGCGGAAGCCUGACGCAGCGACGCCGCGUGGGGGAUGACGGCCUUCGGGUUGUAAACCUCUUUCAGCAGGGACGAAGUUGACGUGUACCUGUAGAAGAAGCGCCGGCUAACUACGUGCCAGCAGCCGCGGUAAUACGUAGGGCGCGAGCGUUGUCCGGAAUUAUUGGGCGUAAAGAGCUCGUAGGUGGCUUGUUGCGUCUGCCGUGAAAGCCCGUGGCUUAACUACGGGUCUGCGGUGGAUACGGGCAGGCUAGAGGCUGGUAGGGGCAAGCGGAAUUCCUGGUGUAGCGGUGAAAUGCGCAGAUAUCAGGAGGAACACCGGUGGCGAAGGCGGCUUGCUGGGCCAGUUCUGACGCUGAGGAGCGAA
rnacentral:rRNA from 1 species